GACGAACGCUGGCGGCGUGCUUAACACAUGCAAGUCGUACGAUGAAGCUGGAGCUUGCUCCGGUGGAUUAGUGGCGAACGGGUGAGUAACACGUGAGCAAUCUGCCCUUCACUCUGGGAUAACUGCGGGAAACUGUAGCUAAUACCGGAUACGAGACCUUGGGACAUCCCAGGGUCUGGAAAGAAUUUCGGUGAAGGAUGAGCUCGCGGCCUAUCAGCGAGUUGGUGAGGUAAUGGCUCACCAAGGCGACGACGGGUAGCCGGCCUGAGAGGGUGACCGGCCACACUGGGACUGAGAAACGGCCCAGACUCCUACGGGAGGCAGCAGUGGGGAAUAUUGCACAAUGGGCGAAAGCCUGAUGCAGCAACGCCGCGUGAGGGAUGAAGGCCUUCGGGUUGUAAACCUCUUUUAGUAGGGAAGAAGCGCAAGUGACGGUACCUACAGAAAAAGCACCGGCUAACUACGUGCCAGCCGCCGCGGUAA
rnacentral:rRNA from 1 species